AAACUACAGCCGCAGAAACGAAGCCCUAAAACAUAAACCAACCGUUAACUCCUUAACUCCUUAAGCUCUAUAUGUAUUAUGUGUUAUCUACAUAAACCAAUAAAUAAAUUUACAAGUAAAUGAAGGGAGGAGAAUGAUGAUGAGGUGGUGGUGGUCACAAUACGGUACGAUCAUAGCUAAUUCAUAACUUUUAAAAAUCGAUUAGUAAUAAUUGGUCACCUCCUUAAAAACAAAUUAUUCACUUUGCUUCCGAUACUUUCAUAUUUGUUUAUUUUAUAUAUUUUUUAUAUACAGAUAGUAAUAAAUAUCUAUUAAGUUUUGUAGGGAAGAGACUGAUGAGUAUAAUAUAAGCAAAAUGGAGAUAUUCUUACAGGACCUUCAGAUAGUGGACAUGGUGACUGUCACAUUCCUCUCCUAGUCUCCUUGGCCAGUAGACAAACUUAUGUAAUAAUUCACCAAAAUUAAGACAUGUUAAUGUAUAAUUUGCAAUAUAUGUGG
rnacentral:lncRNA from 1 species